CAGGCCUAACACAUGCAAGUCGAACGAUGAAGCGGUGCUUGCACCGUGGAUUAGUGGCGAACGGGUGAGUAACACGUGAGUAACCUGCCCUUCACUCUGGGAUAACUCCGGGAAACCGGUGCUAAUACUGGAUACGACCUCAACCUGCAUGGGUAUGGGGUGGAAAGCUUUUGUGGUGGAGGAUGGACUCGCGGCCUAUCAGCUUGUUGGUGGGGUAAUGGCCCACCAAGGCGACGACGGGUAGCCGGCCUGAGAGGGUGACCGGCCACACUGGGACUGAGACACGGCCCAGACUCCUACGGGAGGCAGCAGUGGGGAAUAUUGCACAAUGGGCGAAAGCCUGAUGCAGCGACGCCGCGUGAGGGAUGACGGCCUUCGGGUUGUAAACCUCUUUCAGCUCUGACGAGCUUUAUUGUGACGGUAGGAGCAGAAGAAGCACCGGCUAACUACGUGCCAGCAGCCGCGGUAAUACGUAGGGUGCGAGCGUUGUCCGGAAUUAUUGGGCGUAAAGAGCUUGUAGGCGGCUUGUCGCGUCUGCUGUGAAAUCCCGGGGCUCAACCUCGGGCUUGCAGUGGGUACGGGCAGGCUAGAGUAUGGUAGGGGAGACUGGAAUUCCUGGUGUAGCGGUGGAAUGCGCAGAUAUCAGGAGGAACACCGAUGGCGAAGGCAGGUCUCUGGGCCAUCACUGACGCUGAGAAGCGAAAGCGUGGGGAGCGAACAGGAUUAGAUACCCUGGUAGUCCACGCCGUAAACGUUGGGCGCUAGGUGUGGGUCCCAUUCCACGGGGUCCGUGCCGCAGCUAACGCAUUAAGCGCCCCGCCUGGGGAGUACGGCCGCAAGGCUAAAACUCAAAGGAAUUGACGG
rnacentral:rRNA from 1 species